rnacentral:lncRNA from 12 species
UUUUCAUUUAAGUUUUUGGAGUUCUUUCCCCCCCAGAUCUCUAACUUCAGAUUUGCUCCGUUCUUUUCAGAUGUUGCUUACAACUUGCUAAUGCAAAUGUGUCACAAACUUAACUAAGAGGCACUCGCAUUGUUCCUAUAUUUCUGCUGUUAAAAGCAAUGGUGCUCUUGGGACGCCUGGGUGGCUCAGUUGGCUAAGUGUCCAACUCUUGAUUUCUGCUCAGAGCGUGAUCUUGGGGUUGUGAGAUCGAGCUCCAUGUCUGACUCUGUGCUGAGUGUGGAGUCUACUUAAGAAUCUCUUGCUCUCCCUCCCUAAAAAUAAAGUGAUAAAUAAAUAAAAUAAUAAUGCUCUAAAAAGAAAAGGUAUCCCAAAUGUCCCUCAUUAUCUGACAUCUUGUAGGAGAAAAACUUAUGGUUAUAGUGACUUAUGUUCUGAUGUGAAGGAAUUUGCAUAUUGAAAGAUAUUUUUAAUGGAGGAAAAAAUUAAUUAGUGGUAGGAUACAAAGAACUUCUUAGGGAUGUGGCCUUUCCUUACGUGGUGACUGUAAAAUGUGUGAUUGGCUUUUUAGUUUUCCCUAAUCCUUACUGUUAGUGAAUCACUCAAGCUGGAUAUCAGUGAGUGAUAAGCUUUGCAGAAUGGCACACACCUGCUUGGGGUGACUAUCCCAUGCCCCCAGGUGCUGUUCCAUCAGACCACUGGCCCCUACAACAUGUGUUCUCCACGACAGCCUCACAAAGGUGGCCCCACAUCUUUUUUUUUUUUUUUUUUUUUUUCAGGAGCUGAGGACAAUGGGCGUGACACCUCAAACAGAAGCAUCUAUACCAGCCUGGAAGAAAGUCUCAGAGAAACGGGGACAAGAGGAUGACUCUACAGUAGAUUCCAGCCCUGGAUCACACUCAGGACCGAGCUCCCUGCCACCUUCGCACAGAAGCUGAAUGCAUCUGUGAGCUACUUCGGAAAAGUCUGGAAGCAUGUUAAGGACAAUGAGAACAUUUCUGUGGUCUCUGACAUCCCAAAUGGGGCCCAGUUCUCAGCCUUAGAA